AGAAUCAACGCUGGCGGCGUGCCUAACACAUGCAAGUCGAACGAGAAAGUGGAGCAAUCCACGAGUAAAGUGGCGCACGGGUGAGUAACACGUGACUAACCUACCCUUGAGUGGGGGAUAACCUAGGGAAACCUGGGCUAAUACCGCAUAAUACCUACGGGUCAAAGGAGCAAUUCGCUUAAGCGAGGGGGUCGCGGCCGAUUAGUUAGUUGGCGGGGUAAUGGCCCACCAAGACGAUGAUCGGUAUCCGGCCUGAGAGGGCGCACGGACACACUGGAACUGAAACACGGUCCAGACUCCUACGGGAGGCAGCAGUGGGGAAUUUUGCGCAAUGGGGAAACCCUGACGCAGCAACGACGCGUGGAGGAUGAAGUCCCUUGGGAUGUAAACUCCUUUCGACUCGGGACGAUUAUGACGGUACCGGAAGAAGAACGCCCGGCUAACUUCGCGCCAGCAGCCGC
rnacentral:rRNA from 1 species